rnacentral:tRNA from 1 species
UCCAGUAGUGGUUUGGCGAUAGAGCAGCUGCUUAGCAUGCGGAAGGACCCAGGUUCGAUCCUUGGCAUCUCUGGAG